rnacentral:rRNA from 1 species
GACGAACGCUGGCGGCGUGCCUAAUACAUGCAAGUCGAGCGCAGGAAACUGACGGAACUCUUCGGAGGGAAGGCAGUGGAAUGAGCGGCGGACGGGUGAGUAACACGUAAGGAACCUGCCUCAAGGAUUGGGAUAACUCCGAGAAAUCGGAGCUAAUACCGGAUAGUUCAUCGGACCGCAUGGUCCGUUGAUGAAAGGCGCUUCGGCGUCACCUUGAGAUGGCCUUGCGGUGCAUUAGCUAGUUGGUGGGGUAACGGCCCACCAAGGCGACGAUGCAUAGCCGACCUGAGAGGGUGAUCGGCCACAUUGGGACUGAGACACGGCCCAGACUCCUACGGGAGGCAGCAGUAGGGAAUCUUCCACAAUGGACGAAAGUCUGAUGGAGCAACGCCGCGUGAGUGAUGAAGGUUUUCGGAUCGUAAAACUCUGUUGUAAGGGAAGAUCACGUACGAGAGGGAAUGCUCGUACCUUGACGGUACCUUACGAGAAAGCCACGGCUAACUACGUGCCAGCCGCCGCUGUAA